rnacentral:lncRNA from 1 species
GAAGUUCCCAGGCUGGGGACUGAAUCCCUGAGCCACAGCUGUGACCUACAUAUGCUUCUGUGGCAACACUGGAUCCUUUAACCCACUGCCCAUGGCUGGGGAUCAAAUCUACACCUCCUCAGUGACUUGAAUUGUUGCAAAUGGGUCCUUAAGCCACUGUAUCAUAGUGGAAACUCCUAUACUUGUUUCUUAAUAGACAAGAAUUUCAUCUAGUAUGAAAAUGCAAUCAAGGUAUAGCUUUUAAUUUUUAUAUUUUGGAUAUGACUUAUGUCAUAUUCUCUAAGUAGAGGAGCCCAUCUCUAGUGGAUUAUGUCCCAAUACGGAUAUAUUCUGAAAAAAAGUGAUAUUUUCUCAGACAGUUAUUCAAUCUCUUCAGAUGAAAUGAAGAUAAAUUUCAUCUCACCAUAAAUUACUCUCAAGAGUGAGAGAUAUAUAAAUGAGGUUCGUAUAUAGUAACUCAAUGGAUUGAUAUCAUGUGGCUAUUACAAAGACCUAAUUUUUACCCAUGUAGUAUAAUUGUCACUGCAUCAUUUAGUAUGAAGCAUUAUACGUGAAAAUGUCCCACUGGUUAGUCUUACAUUCUAAAACUGUAUUUCUAUCUCAGAAUCCAAUAUAAUGAAAUGUUUGUUUGGCACAAUUCACUCGCUAUCAUCUUGGUUUCCCUAUUUUAAAGCAAUCUAAAUGAGUUGCAGUAAAUUAGACUAAUAAAGUUAACCACUCAAGCAGUGAACACACAGUACUGUUCAUCUCUGUUCAAACAAUAGUAUGUUCAGUUAUCACAUGUCUUUAUUUUUGUAGCUAUUGAAGGGAUUUCUAAAUACAUGUAUCAUAUUUAGAACUUUCUUUUUGGAUAUUGGAGUUAUAUAAAUAUAAUGGAUCAGCAUUAUUAUUAUAGGUUAGACUAAGGAAAUUUUCUUACACUAAACCAUGCAACAAAUUAUCAUGGUACCCAUUUGGCACUGUUAAUGCUUAAUUAGAUUUCCAGUGAAGAGAAGAUGACUAAUCGAAUUUUAUAUUUAAUACUGUAAUGUGGGAAUGAGGUGAAAAUGUUCAGCAUGAAAAGAGCCAUUUCCAUAUGUUUUAAAAUUCGGUUUUCUCCUAAGUUGAAUUGAUCGUGAUACUUCAGGAUAAGACAUAUAUUUCCCAUUGUGUUUCCUUUGUUAUUUUCUCAAUUCCAUCAUUUUAAAUAAUUGGUAUCUGCUAAAUGCUUUGGAUCGCACAUCAAAUUUAUUCUUCAGCGAUUCAACGAGCUUAUUUUUUUGAACAGAAAUGGAAGCAAUUUAAAUAGAAAAUUAAACAACCAACACAUGAGGCUCUUUUUCUUCCCACCCUUUAUAUUGACCAUUUUCAGCAGUGUUGCUUAUAUGCCAUAGAAAAUAAUACCUUACAUAUGUUGAGAUGACUUUUCUAGUAAUGUCAAAUAUUUGGAACAUGAAAGCAAUAAACUUAUGCCAUUCAAUCAUGUGCAAAAAAAUUAUACAAUUUUCUUAAAGAAAGCACUUCAAGCUGCCAUUUAGAGUCAUGAAUGUUAAUUUUAGAUAUCAUUUAGAUGACUUUUUUUAGUUGCUAUUUGUGUUUGUAGUACCUUAGAAGGAAAUUAGAAGUCUUUCUGUUUGUGUGUGUGUGUAUGUGCAUGUGUAUGCCUGUGUAGUUAUGAGUACCAAAAGUUAGAAAAUGUAUUAAACUAUCAUUCAGGGCAGAAUAAAUUAUAAGUAGUUACAGCUCAUUCAAAGGCCCUAAGGUGGGAACAUGACUCAUGUUUUCAAAAAGAGUAGUAGCAAGUGAGAAUAAGGGCAGUAAUGAGGAGCCAGGUUAUGGAAGGCUUUGUAAGCUACUACAAAAAUCAAUAGGAUCUAUUGGAGUGUUUUGAGCUGAGAAGUGACAUGAUUUGACUUAACCUUUAAAAGGAUUAUUCUGGUUUCUGUGACAACAGGCUGUAGUGGGCAUGAGGAGAUGUUGAGAAACCAGAUAGCAGACACUAAAAUAAUUAAAACAAAUGAUACAUAAUAUUUGUGUGGGACAGAGUGGGGUGGGUAAGGGCGAGAUAAAGACAAUUUUGAAGUUAGAGUCAACAGAUGUUGAUAAUAAAGGUCCUGAGUCAUUGCAUGAAAGUGGAAUGGUAUUCUGUACAUGUUAUUUAAAUGGCAAGAAUAUGUAUAGUCUAUUUUGGGAAGACUGCCACUAAAAUGCUAAAAAUCAAGGUCACAUUAAAUGUUUAAUUUUAAAGAGUAAGUCUUUAUUCUGGGAAAAGAUUAGCACAUUAUCUGACAAUCAUGAAAAAAAAGAGGUUUUCCAUAUAAUAAAACAACAUCCCUAACAAUGAGCUCCUGGAACACAGCCAUUGUGGUGGUUAAUUUUACGUCAACCGGAAUGGAUCCCAGGGUGUCCAGAUAUUUGGCUAAACAUUAUUUCUGAGUAGGCUGGUGAAGGUGCGUGUGGAUGAAAUUAGUAUUUGAAUGAGUGGACUCAGUAAGGCAGUUAACCCUCUGCAAUGUGAGCCUCAAUAGAACUAAAAGCAGAGAAAGGAAAAAUUUGGCCCUUUUUGCCCAAGUUAUUGAACUGGGACAUUGAUCUCCUGUCCUCGUUUGUUCCCAGGUAUCAGGCCUUUGAAUUCAGUCUGAACUACACCAUUGACUUUUCUGGGUAUCCAGCUUAUAAAUGGCAAUCAUGGGACUUCUCUUCCUCCAGAAUUGCGUGAGCCAGUUUCUGACAAUACAUUUCUGUGGGGGCUGGGGGGGGGCGUGUAGGGGUAGGGGUGUGUGUGUGUGUGUGUGUGUGUGUGUGUGUGUGUCCAACUUCCCUUGAAUUAAAGUCGUUUUUAAUUUAACAACUGAUUCAGUAAACCCUAAUAGUAUGAUUCCACAGAAAGUGCGCUGAUGUGGAAUGAUCACAAGAAGAAUGGCUGGAGAAAAUUCUUAAAAACCACCCUGAAGCAGCAGUACAAAUUAUGGACAGAGAGAUUAUUGGCUACAGGAUGAAAAAGGAAAUGUAGAGUCAGGCUGAAGAAAAGGAGACAGAGCGGGAGGCUAAUGCAAUAAAUUAUGUGAGGAAUAAUAAAGACAUAAAUUAAGUAGGGUCCCUGGUAUUGAUGGUGACUACAUUUUAUUCAACAAUAGGAUCUAAUUAAUUUUUCAAAGUAUUGCUGAAGCAUAUUUGCUAUUAUAAAAAAUGAAUUAGGAGUUCCCACUGUGGCACAGCGGAAAUGAAUCCAACUAGGAACCAUGAGGUUGCUGGUUUGAUCCCUGGCCUCACUCAGUGUGUUAAGGAAUUGGUGUUGUUGCGAGCUGUGGUAUAGGUCACAAACGCAGAUUGGACCCUGCAUUGCUGUGGCUGUGGUGUAGGCCAGCAGCUGUCGCUCUGAUUUGACCUCUAGCCUGGGAACCUCUAUAUGCUGUGGGUGCGGUCCUAAAAAGCUAAAUAAAUAAAUAAAUAUUAAUUUUAAUGAUAUAUUUUUUAUUAUUAAUAUUUGAAAGUUGUAAAAUUCUUAAUGAAUAUAGAAGCAUAGCCUAUCAGGUACUCCAAAGGUAAAACACCAAGAAACUAGUCAUAAAUGAACACUCUGGGCUCAACAUCAUGUUGGGUCAUGUGGAAAUAUAUAUGUUAAUAUGAAAUAUUGUUUUCUUAUAGAUAAUUCAGAAAGAUAUACAUACAAUUGGCUAAAACAAAAUUAUAUCAACACAAUAAAGAUAUAAUAAAGAUUCAAUCUGACGGGUAGAUUCUGGGAAAUCAUUUAUAGGGCUUUACAGAUGACCUUUAUGCUGAAACUUAACCAAUGCAUGUCUUCAUCCAAAUUUGCCUUUCUCAUUACCAGUUCAUACCAGCAUUAUACCAAACUCCAUUAUGCCAGACUCCAAUAAUCUAAGAUAAAUUCAUUAGUUUCUUUUUAAAGGGCUUCCUUCUCCAUUUAUUAUUUCUGCUAAUGAAAUUCUUUACUUGCUUUUUUCACAGAUUAGAAAUACUAAAAUUACUUUUACUUAAAGCAUUUCUUUCCCACUUCCCAUACCCAAUCACCUGCUAAAUUCCAUUAAUUAUCUUACUACAUUUUUCAAAAUUCUCUGACAUUCUCUUCUAAAGCUUCUUCUUGUUAAUGUCUUGGUUAAGGUAAUCAUCAUCUGCUUUACCUGUUAGAAUAUCUACCCAACUAAUCUCCAAGUGACUGGAUUCUAAUCUUUUAAAUCUGUUUUUCACACUGUCAUGUGAGUUAUCUUCAUAAGAACAGGUAAAAUAGUAUCAUUUUCCUUUUCAAAAACCUGUGUGGCUUAUUCUCUACAAAAUACAGUCAAAGUAUUUAGCAUAGGAUUCAAAGAUCCAAAUUACUUGAAUUUAAAUUACCUUUCCAUUUCAUCACUUGAAACCAAAUUAUGUUUCCAUUUUUAUUACUCUAUCGCUUGCAUCAUUUCUUUCUGGAAAGCAUGAGUUAAUCAUACCAGUCUACACACUACCCUUCAAAUAUAUCCAAAAUUAUUUUUCCCCUGGAGUGUCCCCUUUUCAUAUAAUUAUCUUGGACAGAUAUGACCUCAUUUAUUAAAUUUGUCUUUGAAUGACUUUAGUUUAAAAAGAAAAAGGAGUUCCUGUGGUAGCUUCAUUGGGUUAAGAACCCAAUCCAACUAGUGUUCAUGAGGAUGUGGAUUUGAUCUCUGGCCUGGCUCAGUGGUUUGAGGAUCC